rnacentral:rRNA from 1 species
AAGAAAGUAAAUAAGGGCGCAUGGCGGAUGCCUUGGCUCUCGGAGGCGAUGAAGGACGUGAUAAGCUGCGAUAAGCUUCGGGUAGGUGCAAAUGACCUUUGAUCCGAAGAUUUCCGAAUGGGACAACCCGGCAUUCUGAAGGAAUGUCAUCCAACUUGGUUGGAGGCUAACGCAGGGAACUGAAACAUCUUAGUACCUGCAGGAAAAGAAAAUAAAUAAUGAUUCCCCUAGUAGUGGCGAGCGAACGGGGAUUAGCCCAAACCACUCAUGUUACGGCAUGUGUGGGGUUGUAGGACCACGCUCUCGCAAGACAGUUAUUGAGAAGAAACGACUGGAAAGUCGUGCCAUAGACGGUGAUAGCCCGGUAUUCUAAGGUAACCGAAGCGUAGUGGUAUCCUGAGUAGCGCGGAGCACGAGGAAUU